ACGUGGGCGUGUGAAAGAUGUGAAUUGCUGUCUCUUUUUGUCUGGUGAAUAAGAGCAAUUGCAAAAUCUAUUAUAAAUGUGCCGACAGACGACGACCCAAUAAAAAAAAGUGCAAUAGCCGGACGACGGAAUAAAGUCGCCAAAGUGCAAUUGUGUAAAAGUGUGAGUGUGUGUGUGUGUGUCAAGGGGACCUGUGAAAUACACAUUCUGCAGCGCAGGUGCGACUUCUUGGCUACAUACAUACUACACAUAUAUAUAUUUAUAUUAUUAUAUAUUAUAUAUGUAUAUUCAAACAGUAUCAACAAACUGCACACAACAACAAGCAGAUCAAAGGAAU